rnacentral:rRNA from 1 species
GACAGAGGGUGCAAACGUUGUUCGGAAUUACUGGGCGUAAAGCGAGUGUAGGCGGUUUGGUAAGUCGGAUGUGAAAGCCCCGGGCUCAACCCGGGAAGUGCACUCGAUACUGCCAAGCUAGAGUAUCGGAGAGGUUGGUGGAAUUCUCGGUGUAGAGGUGAAAUUCGUAGAUAUCGAGAGGAACACCGGUGGCGAAGGCGGCCAACUGGACGAAUACUGACGCUGAGGCACGAAAGCGUGGGGGAGCAAACAGG